rnacentral:rRNA from 1 species
GAUCGAGUUUGAUCCUGGCUCAGAGUGAACGCUGGCGGCGUGCUUAACACAUGCAAGUCGAACGAGAACGGAUUAUAGCUUGCUAUAAUUGUCAGCUAAGUGGCGCACGGGUGAGUAAUAUAUAGAUAACCUGCCCUCUAGAAAGGAAUAACAGUUGGAAACGACUGCUAAUGCCCUAUAUGCCUUUAAUACAUAAGUAUGCAAGGGAAACGCUUUAGUGCUAGAGGAUGGGUCUGUAUGGUAUCAGUUAGUGGUGAGGUAAUGGCUCACCAAGACUAUGACGCCUAACU